CCCUUAGAUGUUCUGGGCCGCACGCGCGCUACACUGACGGAGUCAACGAGUUGUCCUGCAUCGGAAGGUGUGGGUAAUCUUUUGAAACUUCGUCGUGCUGGGGAUAGAUCUUUGCAAUUUUCGAUCUUGAACGAGGAAUUCCUAGUAAGCGGGAUUCAUCAGAUCGCGUUGAUUACGUCCCUGCCCUUUGUACACACCGCCCGUCGCUACUACCGAUUGAAUGGUUUAGUGAGGCCUCGGGACUGGCGCGCUCGAGUAGCAAUACACCUGCGCGCCGGGAACUUGGUCAAACUUGAUCAUUUAGAGGAAGUAAAAGUCGUAACA
rnacentral:rRNA from 1 species